rnacentral:pre_miRNA from 1 species
GGAGAAAUUAUCCUUGGUGUGUUGGCUCUUUUGGAUGAAUCAUACAAGGAUAAUUUCUUUUU